GUUUUUUUAGCCGAGUGGUUAGGGCGUGUGCCUGCUAAGUACAUGCGUUUUUCCAACGAUAGUCCAAAUCUCUCAAGCAACG
rnacentral:tRNA from 1 species